CGUGAGAGCAGGGGCAUUGCCCCUGUAAACGACAGAGCCGGUCUCAAGUCCGG
rnacentral:ribozyme from 1 species